rnacentral:rRNA from 1 species
ACGUGGGAAUCUACCUUAGAGUUGGGGAUAAGCCUUGGAAACAGGGUCUAAUACCGAAUACGGUCUAUGGACUAAAGUGUGCCUCUGCUUGCACGCACACGCUUUAAAGAUGAGCCCGCGUUAGAUUAGCUAGUUGGUGGGGUAAAGGCCCACCAAGGCGACGAUCUAUAGCUGGUUUGAGAGGAUGAUCAGCCACACUGGGACUGAGACACGGCCCAGACUCCUACGGGAGGCAGCAGUGGGGAAUUUUGGACAAUGGGCGCAAGCCUGAUCCAGCAAUGCCGCGUGAGUGAAGAAGGC